AUGCUGCUUGUCAUGCAGGCAGGGAGAAUGAAAUUCGAUGUCCAUGCAUCAAAUGCUGCAACACAUACUCUCAUCCUCGUGAUUGGUUUCUGCUCACCUCAAAGUGUAUGGAAUUCUGAGAAAUUAUACCUUUUGGUACCAUUGGUGAAGUUGCGAGGACCCCCCAAACAGUUUCUGAAGGUGAAGGCGAUGAAGAAAUGCAAGCAGAGAGUGAUGAUGAAGCCGCUGAAGCUGAACCUGACAAUGUCUAUGAAGAAGACUUGCUUCAAAAUUCGACAACAACAUCACGUAGAAAGAGAACAACAUGAUGUCACUAGUUUAUGCAACUUUUAA
rnacentral:rRNA from 1 species